rnacentral:snRNA from 1 species
AAACCUUCUCGGCCUUUUGGCUAAGAUCAAGUGUAGUAUCUGUUCUAAUCAGUGUGAAAACUGGUUUUCCUCAUUUUUGAGGAUCUUUUUCACAUUCAAUUUUGGACAUUCUUUGUUUUUCUAGCUUGCUAGGAAUUCAGAGCACGGACUCCGGGGGCUUUCACCACUACCCCCCGCGAGGCCAACUACCU